rnacentral:rRNA from 1 species
UGAGUAAUGCCUAGGAAUCUGCCUGGUAGUGGGGGACAACGUCUCGAAAGGGACGCUAAUACCGCAUACGUCCUACGGGAGAAAGCAGGGGACCUUCGGGCCUUGCGCUAUCAGAUGAGCCUAGGUCGGAUUAUCUAGUUGGUGAGGUAAUGGCUCACCAAGGCGACGAUCCGUAACUGGUCUGAGAGGAUGAUCAGUCACACUGGAACUGAGACACGGUCCAGACUCCUACGGGAGGCAGCAGUGGGGAAUAUUGGACAAUGGGCGAAAGCCUGAUCCACCCAUGCCGCGUGUGUGAAGAAGGUCUUCGGAUUGUAAAGCACUUUAAGUUGGGAGGAAGGGUUGUAAAUUAAUACUCUGCUAUUUUGACGUUACCGACAGAAUAAGCACCGGCUAACUCUGUGCCAGCAGCCGC